rnacentral:lncRNA from 1 species
UGAUGGUGGAUGUUAAACGCCCUCGUUUGAACGAGACCUUCUUCCAACGGUGAGCAACGGAGAAGGAGAAGAAGGGGGGAGGAUUUAGUACUGCACCACGAAUUACAGAACGUAUGAAACUUUCACUCGAUGGAAUCAUCAAAUAGAAAAGAAAAAGAAACUUCAGGCUACACCUCGAGCUCCACCCUAAAGGCAGUUUAAAGUCAUGGAAAGAAUAAGGAUGAAGGAAAUGACGAGGAGACUUGGUGGCUCAUUGGAGGCGAUGGGAAUGUCACGUGGUGUGCCCUUAGGACGGACCAUAGAAAAUGUAGGAGCGCAGUGUGGGUAUACGGCUCGUUCGUAAAUUCAAUUAUGGAGACUCGAUCCCAUUAGGAGCUGGGUAGCAGUAAAAACGUCCGGAGGAUUAGUUUUCUGCCACGCGAAAGGUAAUUAUCGUGUCGCGUCUCGUGAGAAAAAAGAUGCCAGGAAGAGGAGGAAGAGGAGGAAGAGGAGGAAGGAGGCUGCUUUGACCGUAAGUGACACGCACGAUGCGUGCCGUUAACGAGAAGCGAACCGACGACUUACGAGGAUUCUUCUACGUACUUGGGUAACCGGAUAGAGAAGAAAAGUAGGAAGAAAAAUAGGAAGAUUUUGACAUGACACGAGAGAAAUUUUCACGAAGAAAAAUGAUAAUCGCGAGAUAUGAUGGAAGAGAUCCAAGCAAUCAACGAAUUGGCAUUUCCCACAUCUUCUAAGCUGAGCAAG